rnacentral:rRNA from 1 species
GACGAACGCUGGCGGCGUGCCUAAUACAUGCAAGUCGAACGCUUUUUCCUUCACCGGAGCUUGCUCCACCGAAAGAAGAAGAGUGGCGAACGGGUGAGUAACACGUGGGUAACCUGCCCAUCAGAAGGGGAUAACACUUGGAAACAGGUGCUAAUACCGUAUAACACUAUUUUCCGCAUGGAAGAAAGUUGAAAGGCGCUUUUGCGUCACUGAUGGAUGGACCCGCGGUGCAUUAGCUAGUUGGUGAGGUAACGGCUCACCAAGGCAACGAUGCAUAGCCGACCUGAGAGGGUGAUCGGCCACACUGGGACUGAGACACGGCCCAGACUCCUACGGGAGGCAGCAGUAGGGAAUCUUCGGCAAUGGACGAAAGUCUGACCGAGCAACGCCGCGUGAGUGAAGAAGGUUUUCGGAUCGUAAAACUCUGUUGUUAGAGAAGAACAAGGAUGAGAGUAAAACGUUCAUCCCUUGACGGUAUCUAAUCAGAAAGCCACGGCUAACUACGUGCCAGCAGCCGCGGUAA